UGUUCAGCAGAGAUUCUCUCUGUCGAGG
rnacentral:piRNA from 1 species